rnacentral:rRNA from 1 species
UACGGAGGGUGCGAGCGUUGUCCGGAAUCACUGGGCGUAAAGGGCGCGUAGGUGGCUUCUCAAGCGCGCGGUGAAAGCCCGGGGCUCAACCCCGGGUCGGCCGUGCGGACUGGGAGGCUCGAGCACUGUAGGGGCGGGUGGAAUUCCGGGUGUAGCGGUGGAAUGCGUAGAGAUCCGGAAGAACACCGGUGGCGAAGGCGGCCCGCUGGGCAGGAAGGUGUCGUAAGGCACCGGCUGACACUGAGGCGCGACAGCGUGGGGAGCAAACAGG